rnacentral:rRNA from 1 species
AUUGAACGCUGGCGGUAGGCCUAACACAUGCAAGUCGAAUGGUAACAGAGAACAACUUGCUUCUUACCUGAAGCGAGUGGGGCGGGGGUGUAAAAUACGGGGAACUGUAUGUUGGCGGGGGGGAACUAGUGGAAAAAGUAGCUCAAAUACCGUAUCGUACCUACGCCAAAAAGGAGGGGCUCUUGGGACCUUGCGCUCAGGUGUGACCAGAUGGGAUUAGCUAGUAGGUGGGGUAAAGGCGCACCAAGGCGACGAUCCCUAGCUGGUCUGAGAGGAUGACCAGCCACACUGGAACUGAGACACGGUCCAGACUCCUACGGGAGGCAGCAGUGGGGAAUAUUGGACAAUGGGCGCAAGCCUGAUCCAGCCAUGCCGCGUGGAUGAAGAAGGCCUUCGGGUUGUAAAGUACUUUCGGUGGGGAAGAAGAGAGGAAGGUUAAUACCUCGGCGUACUGACGGUACCCAAAGAAGAAGCACCGGCUAACUCCGUG